rnacentral:lncRNA from 1 species
CGCUUGUGAAAGACAUAUGUCUAUGGUUGUGGCUGAGCCAUCAACUCUCCAUAACCAUGAUGUAGAGGAGUUGGAUGAUGCACUCUCCAAGCAUGUGGAGUUGCAGAGUCAACUCAAGAGAGAAGGAUGCACUUAUUAAGGUUCUUGAAGUGCGUGCAAUGAAGAUACAGAGAGAGCCAUAUGUUUUAUUUUCCUCCAGUAUUCCUUAUCAUUUUGGUGCUAGGAAGAAGAUUGUUGAUCGACUCGUCCUCGA